AGAAAGGCGAUGAAGAGGAGUAGUAGGCUCCCCUCCUGUCCCAGAGAGCCGGCGGUCGCUGCAAGCCGGUACAGGAAAAGCUGAACUCGCCUCGGAGCCGCGGAAGUGAACCUGCCAGGGCAGCUCAGCUUUCGCCGCCAGCCAGCGUAACCGGCCAAUCAAGGGUCCCGACGGGACUGAAUCAGGGUGGUACCGCGAAGCGCAAGCUCUCGCCCCUGUA
rnacentral:ncRNA from 1 species